rnacentral:tRNA from 1 species
GGAGAGGUAACUCAGCAGGAGAGUGCUUGCCUCAUGCGCAAGAGGCCUUAGGUUGAAUCCUCCCUACUUCA